rnacentral:rRNA from 1 species
AAANUCUGNCCUNCCCAAUGAAUUUAAAUUUUAAUGGCCGNGGUNCAAUGNCCGUGCAAAGGUAGCAUAAUANUUANUUUUUUAAUUGAGAACUGGUAUGAANGGUNGGAUGAGAAAAAAUCUGUCUCAUUUUAAAUUUAAUUAGAAUUUUAUUUUUAAGUAAAAAAGCUUAAAUACUAUUAAAAGACGAGAAGACCCUAUAGAGUUUUAUAUUGUAUAUUAAAUAGAUUUUGAAGGAUCAGUUAAAUUUAUUUAAUAUAUUAUAUUUGGUUGGGGUGACUAAAAAAUUUAAUUAACUUUUUUAUAUUUAAUUCAUUAAUUUAUGUUUAUUUGAUCCA